rnacentral:rRNA from 1 species
AGUCGAACGAUGAUGCCCAGCUUGCUGGGUGGAUUAGUGGCGAACGGGUGAGUAACACGUGAGUAACCUGCCCCUGACUCUGGGAUAAGCGUUGGAAACGACGUCUAAUACUGGAUAUGAUCACUGGCCGCAUGGUCUGGUGGUGGAAAGAUUUUUUGGUUGGGGAUGGACUCGCGGCCUAUCAGCUUGUUGGUGAGGUAAUGGCUCACCAAGGCGACGACGGGUAGCCGGCCUGAGAGGGUGACCGGCCACACUGGGACUGAGACACGGCCCAGACUCCUACGGGAGGCAGCAGUGGGGAAUAUUGCACAAUGGGCGAAAGCCUGAUGCAGCAACGCCGCGUGAGGGAUGACGGCCUUCGGGUUGUAAACCUCUUUUAGUAGGGAAGAAGCGAAAGUGACGGUACCUGCAGAAAAAGCACCGGCUAACUACGUGCCAGCAGCCGCGGUAAUACGUAGGGUGCAAGCGUUGUCCGGAAUUAUUGGGCGUAAAGAGCUCGUAGGCGGUUUGUCGCGUCUGCUGUGAAAUCCCGAGGCUCAACCUCGGGCUUGCAGUGGGUACGGGCAGACUAGAGUGCGGUAGGGGAGAUUGGAAUUCCUGGUGUAGCGGUGGAAUGCGCAGAUAUCAGGAGGAACACCGAUGGCGAAGGCAGAUCUCUGGGCCGUAACUGACGCUGAGGAGCGAAAGCAUGGGGAGCGAACAGGAUUAGAUACCCUGGUAGUCCAUGCCGUAAACGUUGGGCGCUAGAUGUAGGGACCUUUCCACGGUUUCUGUGUCGUAGCUAACGCAUUAAGCGCCCCGCCUGGGGAGUACGGCCGCAAGGCUAAAACUCAAAGGAAUUGACGGGGGCCCGCACAAGCGGCGGAGCAUGCGGAUUAAUUCGAUGCAACGCGAAGAACCUUACCAAGGCUUGACAUACACCGGAAACGGCCAGAGAUGGUCGCCCCCUUGUGGUCGGUGUACAGGUGGUGCAUGGUUGUCGUCAGCUCGUGUCGUGAGAUGUUGGGUUAAGUCCCGCAACGAGCGCAACCCUCGUUCUAUGUUGCCAGCGGGUUAUGCCGGGGACUCAUAGGAGACUGCCGGGGUCAACUCGGAGGAAGGUGGGGAUGACGUCAAAUCAUCAUGCCCCUUAUGUCUUGGGCUUCACGCAUGCUACAAUGGCCGGUACAAAGGGCUGCGAUACCGUAAGGUGGAGCGAAUCCCAAAAAGCCGGUCUCAGUUCGGAUUGAGGUCUGCAACUCGACCUCAUGAAGUCGGAGUCGCUAGUAAUCGCAGAUCAGCAACGCUGCGGUGAAUACGUUCCCGGGCCUUGUACACACCGCCCGUCAAGUCAUGAAAGUCGGUAACACCCGAAGCCGGUGGCCUAACCCUUGUGGAAG